rnacentral:rRNA from 1 species
ACGAACGCUGGCGGCAGGCUUAACACAUGCAAGUCGAACGCCCCGCAAGGGGAGUGGCAGACGGGUGAGUAACGCGUGGGAACAUACCCUUUGGUUCGGAACAACUCGGGGAAACUCGAGCUAAUACCGGAUAAGCCCUACGGGGGAAAGAUUUAUCGCCGAAGGAUUGGCCCGCGUCUGAUUAGCUAGUUGGUGAGGUAAUGGCUCACCAAGGCGACGAUCAGUAGCUG